rnacentral:lncRNA from 1 species
AUGGUCAGAUUUGGGAUGGAGCUCGAUGGUGGGUGGUCGAGGCUGAUGGUGGUGGCGGCUGAUGGUGGUGGGGGGUGGGUGGUGGCGGCUGAUGAUGGUGGGGGUAAUUGUGCGACAUAACAAGAACGUUGGGGGGGGGGGGUAAUAUUAAAGGGCAAUAUAGUCAUUUCACAUUAAAGUUAACAGAUCUGUUAACAAAUUUGAGGCCGGGGGGUAAGGUUGCGACAUAACAGUGAACAGUGGGGGGUAAAAUUGCAAUUAUUUCCUUAGGGGGUAGACAUGCCAAUGACCCCUAACCUCAGGGGGUAAAAUUGCAGUUUACUCUAACUUUAAUUUAGAUAAAAAAUUUCACUUUUGCCCUUAGACUUUUCAUUUUAGUAGUUUAGAGUUUUGGGUUUUAGAAGAAAACCAAAGAACAUACGUGAAGCUUAUUGGAUAAGAAACGAUGUCAUAUUCAGGAGGAGGAAGCAACAGAAAGAUUAUACAUAAAAAAAGUUGGUUCCUUUUUCUAAUAUCAAUGUGUUAUUUUAAAAAGCAAAUUGCAUUUUUCGUCCUUCAUGUUUCUCUUUGAACUUCUAAAAUUACACCGGCUCUUUUUUACGUUUGCACAUGAUAACAAAUGGUGUCCUUAUAGCUUAACCCAGUUAACUUUUUUUUGCUCAUGUGAGGGCAUAAUAGUCUUAACCCAGUUAACUUUCUCUCUCUACAAACACACCCUGUUUUUUCAAUCUUGAUUUAAUCAAGAUCAAAGCUUUUUGAUCGUUCACAUCUUUUUCAGCAAACACAGCCAUCAAAUUCACAUAUAAAAACUAGGCCUCACAUCCCAAUACAAUCCGAUCAACUAUCAACAAUUCGAUUUCAAAAAUUCAUAUUUUCAUUUACUCGGUUAAAGGUUUUUAUCAAGGGCAAAAUAAGAAGACUCUCUGGAAAAACUGGACCGAGACGUACAAAGUGUCAGGAUGUGGCGGUGGACGACGGAGGUUUUUAAGGUGGAUUUGGUUACGAUUAUUAGGUGGUUCAUGAUAUUUGUUGUGAAAGAUGAAGAAGCAUAGGCUGCUGAUUUUGAGGUGAAUGUUGUAAAAGUGCAAAGGAGAUUCGGAAUGCAUUAAAGACAAGGCAUAUCAGUGUAGAUCAAGUAGAGAAGGCACGUCUUCAAACACCUAGAACUGAGUUCGAGAUACUGAAAUGAAGGCGGGAGACACUAUUGAUUAAUUCACCACAAAGCUAAAUAGCAUUGUCACUAGGGCAAGACGUCUUGGAUCAACCAACUUUAGUACAAAAACUUCUAAGUUGUGCACCUAUAAGGUUCGUUCAAAUUGUUGAAACCAUUGAACAAUUCGCUCAUCUAGACACAACAACUCUAGAUGAGACAAUUGGAAGAUUGAAAUCCUUUGAAAAAGAACCAAUCUAAUGGAUGAAGAUCCAAUGGACAACCAAGACAAACGGUUGUACACACGACAUGACAAGAACUAUGGUUGUGUAAGGCGUUUUGGUUGUACACACGACAUGACAAGAACUAUGGUUGUGUAAGGCGUUUUGGUUGUACACACGACAUGACAAGAACUAUGGUUGUACACACGACAUGACAAGAACUAUGGGUCAAAGUUAAUAGGUGGUUUAUGUAAAUAGGUUAAAGUAGUUUUAGUGUUUAUUAUGUAGCCUUUAGAAGUCAAGGGUUCUAGUGUGUUAGAAAUCAAACUUAAUAACUUCCAUAUGAAGGGCUGCCACGUUUAGGAAAGUCACGAUGCUUUGGAAUUGGCAUAUAGUCAUGUCGUUUAGAUUGUAAGGUUAAAUAACCCAUACACUAAUCAUUGUAAUAUAAUCAUAUGGUCAAUUGUCAAAGUGGAUUGUUCAAACAAAAUUACCCUUCUGUUAAAAAUAAUUACAUUUUUAUUACUUUAUUACCUUGUAUACCUUUUAUUACUGUCUAACUAUUUUAUGUACCGUUC